rnacentral:rRNA from 1 species
CAGUAGCCGCGGGAAUACGUAGGGUGCGAGCGUUAAUCGGAAUUACUGGGCGUAAAGCGUGCGCAGGCGGUUCUAUAAGACAGAUGUGAAAUCCCCGGGCUCAACCUGGGAACUGCAUUUGUGACUGUAGAGCUGGAGUGCGGCAGAGGGGGAUGGAAUUCCGCGUGUAGCAGUGAAAUACGUAGAUAUGCGGAGGAACACCGAUGGCGAAGGCAAUCCCCUGGGCCUGCACUGACGCUCAUGCACGAAAGCGUGGGGAGCAAACAAGAUUAGAUACCCCAGUAGUCCCUGUCUCUUAUAC